AUUGUUCCCUGCGACCGUCUGGCGCCAGCGCACUGCAGGUGGGGAGCGGGCGUUGGAAGUUGCUGGAAGUUGGAGGCAGGGGAGCGGUCACUCGCGGCGAGCGCCGGCGGCGGCCAGGGCGCAAAGUUGAGAGCAGUCGCUAGUCUGAGCCUUUCAGUCGCCCUCCAGUAUCAUCAGUACCACGGACUUCACCAUGGACUUACCACUUCCUGCGGCCCCUCAGCAACCCAGUGCACCUGCCACUCCACCAGAGGGAAACCAGUCAGGAGUGGGAGGCCUCUGAACAAGCUGUAUUCUGUGUAGCCGCCAGCUUCCAUUUUUCUCCAGGCAGAACGCUGGCCCUCAGCACCUCUUUCUGCUUCCCCUUGGUCAGACCACUGAGGACUGCCGCUGUCCUGUCUGACUCCUCCUGUUUCGAUAUCAAAAUGUGCUAUUAAUUUCCACAAAUAGUUUGCUAACAACUGAAAAGAUAGAUAAAUGAAUGCAAGAGAAUAGAAAAUCCAGGAACACCCAAGUAUAGGUUCUAACAUGCCAAGAAGAUGUGAAACUAUUCUGCUAGACUUUGAUGUUGAUCCAAAUAUUGCAGAUGUCUAUGGCAUCACUGCUCUCCACCUGCUGUCUGUAAUGAGAGUAUGUCAAAGGUAACAACAACUGUUUUCAUACAAGACAAACAUCGAAGUGAAAAACGAUGUAGAGAUCAACCAUUGUUAUUUUCAAAAUAUUUGAAAUCCACUUGUUUUAACAUUGACAUAUGUAAGGGUCAAUUUUUCCUAUUUGGAAGCUUAAGCAAUCCCUAAAUAAAAAUAAUUUGAAAUAA